rnacentral:rRNA from 1 species
GGGUGUGUAAGCGCAGCGAUGCGUUGAGCUAACCGGUACUAAUGACCCGUGAGGCUUAACCUUACAACGCCAGAGGCGUUUUG